rnacentral:rRNA from 1 species
UACGUAGGGGGCAAGCGUUGUCCGGAAUUAUUGGGCGUAAAGAGCGUGUAGGCGGUCCGGUAAGUCAGCUGUGAAAGUCCAGGGCUCAACCCUGGGAUGCCGGUCGAUACUGCCGGACUAGAGUUCGGAAGAGGCGAGUGGAAUUCCUGGUGUAGCGGUGGAAUGCGCAGAUAUCAGGAGGAACACCAAUAGCGAAGGCAGCUCGCUGGGACGUUACUGACACUGAGGCGCGAAAGCGUGGGGAGCGAACAGG